CAGUCGCCGCGGUAAUACGAAGGGGGCUAGCGUUGCUCGGAAUGACUGGGCGUAAAGGGCGCGUAGGCGGCUCAUACAGUCAGGCGUGAAAGUCCUGAGCUCAACCUGGGGUGGUCGCUUGAGACGUGUGGGCUAGAGUGGGGAAGAGGGUCGUGGAAUUCCCAGUGUAGAGGUGAAAUUCGUAGAUAUUGGGAAGAACACCGGUGGCGAAGGCGGCGACCUGGUCCUUUUACUGACGCUGAGGCGCGAAAGCGUGGGGAGCAAACAGGAUUAGAGACCCGUGUAGUCCCUGUCUCUUAUA
rnacentral:rRNA from 1 species